GACGGGGGGGGGGCGAAGUGUUCUUCGGAAUGACUGGGCGUAAAGGGCACGUAGGCGGUGAAUCGGGUUGAAAGUGAAAGUCGCCAAAAAGUGGCGGAAUGCUCUCGAAACCAAUUCACUUGAGUGAGACAGAGGAGCGUGGAAUUUCGUGUGUAGGGGUGAAAUCCGUAGAUCUACGAAGGAACGCCAAAAGCGAAGGCAGCUCUCUGGGGUCCCCUACCGACGCUGGGGUGCGAAAGCCAUGGGGGAGCGAAACAGA
rnacentral:rRNA from 1 species